rnacentral:rRNA from 1 species
AUUGAACGCUGGCGGCAUGCUUUACACAUGCAAGUCGAACGGUAACAGGCCUUCGGGCGCUGACAAGUGGCGAACGGGUGAGUAAUGCAUCGGAACGUGCCCAGUCGUGGGGGAUAACUAUCCGAAAGGAUAGCUAAUACCGCAUACGAUCUGCGGAUGAAAGCGGGGGACCUUCGGGCCUUGCGCGAUUGGAGCGGCCGGUGUCAGAUUAGGUAGUUGGUGGGGUAAAGGCUCACCAAGCCAACGAUCUGUAGCUGGUCUGAGAGGACGACCAGCCACACUGGGACUGAGACACGGCCCAGACUCCUACGGGAGGCAGCAGUGGGGAAUUUUGGACAAUGGGCGCAAGCCUGAUCCAGCAAUGCCGCGUGCAGGAAGAAGGCCUUCGGGUUGUAAACUGCUUUUGUACGGAACGAAACGGCUCUGGUUAAUACCUGGGGCUAAUGACGGUACCGUAAGAAUAAGCACCGGCUAACUACGUGCCAGCCGCCGCGGUAAGAC